rnacentral:misc_RNA from 1 species
AACGCACAUUGCGCCCUCUGGUAUUCCGGAGGGCAUGCCUGUUCGAGCGUCAUUACAACCCUCAAGCUCUGCUUGGUAUUGGGCGUCACCAAUUCUGGUGUGCUCUAAAAUCAGUGGCGGUGCCGUCUGGCUCUAAGCGUAGUACAUCUCUCGCUAUAGAUGCCUGGUGGAUGCUUGCCAACAACCCCAAUUUUUUAAGGUUGACCUCGGAUCAGGUAGGGAUACCCGCUGAACUUAA